UGUAAGUACCAUGGGGAACAUGCCAAUACUAUUUUCCUCUUUAGGAACUUUAAGGAUACUAGUAAUAACAAAAAGAAUGUAACAUAAGAGAAUGGCAAAUUGUAAUUUAGUAAAGUUAAUAAAGUUAUUAUUGUCACACCAAGGGAAGAAUAAAACAUAACAUAACAUAACAGAAUGGUAAAGUUGCACUUAAGUAAAGUUAGUAAGGUUAUUAUUGUCACACCAAGCGUCUCACUUGGUGCUCGGUACAGAUAAGUAAAAGCCACUAGCAGGAAAAUCCUUUCCUAUAUAAAAAAUUCUACUAUUGCAUCCCAAAUAACAUGUUCUAGCUUUUUUCAAGAAAAUGAAUUGCGAAAUAACAACAUUGAUCAUGCUAUCUAUCAUG
rnacentral:misc_RNA from 1 species